GUUAAAACAAACAAAAUACCUAUUUAAAUAUUUUAAAAAACGUAUGCAUAGGGAACUACGCAGACAUAGUAGGGACCCGAAAGUACUUCGCGAUCCUCCAAGUCAUUCGAUACAAGAUUGUCGGAAAUGCCGAUACGGCAUUGGAAUCAUACAACAUUCCUCUGAAUUGGAACGCUAUUUCCAAAUGUUUGACAAGAGAGACCUGAGUACGUUAGAGUACCAGAUGACUAUGCUGGUGCAAGGAAAUCAACAGUCAGUGGAAGAUUAUCACCAAGUUGUUUAUUAGCAAAUGUCACUGAUUCUAAAUAAAAUAGGUUGCAUGGAAUUAGGAAGAGAAGCAGAACAAUUAAUGACCAAAUUAUACCGCGAUAAAUCAUUAGAUACUUUUGUCAGAGAACUACGAGGAGAUCUUCCUCGAUUCCUGGGUAUGAAAGAACCAGUAGACCUCCCAUCAGCUCUACAUCUUUGUUUAAAAAUAGAAAACCAGAACUAUCGUUCUAAUUAUGCUAACGCCAAAACACCCACUAUUAGAUUUAGGCGAUCAAACCAAAAACCAAUUCUAGCACCCCGAUCAAAUAUCAAUUAUAACAACUUUAGGCAACCUCCUCAGUACUACCAAUAUAAUCAGUACAAACAUUCUAUUCCCCCCCGACAAAACUAUGAUUACCAAACACCACAAGUUACACAGAGUUAUCCCCGUCAACAAUUCCCUCUGAAUAACAUACUAGAAACGUCAAUUACAUGAAUCGUCCGCAUUUCCAAGCAGGAAACGACCCCCAACAACUCAAAAUGUAAAAAUUUGUAGGAUUUAUUAUUUCCAAUAGAGGCAUAGAAACCAAUCCUGCAAAGGUAGAAGCCAUUUCCAAGUAUCCUUGUCCGAAAAUAUUAAAGGAUCUUAGAUCCUUCCUAGGAUUGUCCUGUUACUAUAGAAGAUUCAUAAAGGAUUAUGCCAUGCUAUCUAAACCACCUACCUCAUUAUUAAGAGGGGACGAUGGUCGCGUAUCUAAAAACAACUCGAGCAAAAAAAGCUUUCAAAAAACUCAAGAACACCCUCAUUUCGACAGAAGUCAUUUUACAAUACCCAGAUUUCAAUAAAGAGUUUCAACUCACAGCAGAUGCCUCAAAUUUCGCAUUAGGAGCAGUUCUCGGACAAAAUUAAAAACCAAUAUCCUUCAUUUCGAAAGAAGAAAGCCAAAAAGAAGAAGAGAUCCUAAAGGUUCACAAUAGGGCCCACAGGAAUGCUGUAGAAAAUCAAAAACAACUCAUCGAAAAAUUAUAUUUUUCCAAAAAUGAAACAGAAAAGUUCCACUAUAGUAAAGCAGUGUCAGAUUUAUAAGGAAGUAAAAUACGACAGACACCCCACUAAUCCCGAAAUCGUGGAAACACCAAUACCAAUAUAUCCAGGUCACACUAUUCACAUUGAUAUUUAUUCCACAGAAAUUAGCCCAAGAAAGAAUCAUCAAAUCCAAAUCCUGCGGUAUAAACAUACUCUCGAGUACUUAUAUAUGCGGAAGAUGUUAAACUGUGUGUCCAGUAUAAGGACAUUUUAUUUCAUUCUCGCUUACAAUCCGAUCUCAAUAACUUUCAGUCAUGGUGUUGUGCUAACUUGUUAUGUUGGGUGUUUCCUUCAUUCUCCACUCAUCUCAUGACUAUAUUUGGUCAUGCGCUGGGCCACUGCCGGCCCGAUCCCGUCAUCCCGCUGCUCUCUAUUCGGGGUCCUCUCCUCUCAUCUUGGAUCUCCGAGACAGCUCCCCUCGGGAAUUCGCCGCAUCCGGAUAUCCCCGGAUAACGGCCGUUAGUCCUUAACCCUGUACCGCCCCCUGCGUGUGGGAAUACAUUUCCUCACACUUCCCCCUUUCUUUCAUUGGCGGAAAACCCCGAUGUUCCGCGUCCCGAAUCUAGGGAUGUUUCAAAAAUCACGCGCGAUCGGCGCCUUGUUCUCGAACCGGGUGCACCCUGGCGCCCUCCCUCGGCCUAACCAGGUUCGGUGUUGCCGUAUAUCCCCGCUGCGAGCGAUCGAUUUGUUCCUCCCUCGUCGAUAGCUCGUACGGCUGGCCACACCUCGCGCUUGAUGGGCUGCCACCGCGGGUUGUCCGCCGGUGAUCCCAUCUGGGGCCACGAUGCCUGACGCUGCAGUUCGGGCUGCACCUCCUGCUUGGUGGUGUGCGCGUCUCGUCCUGCCGCAUGGCUCUCGCGUUUCCCCUCCCUCGCGCGUUUUUUCGUCGGGGCCGGUUCCCAGCUCACCAAUUCGAGGUCGCUCUCUGCCUCGCUGCACCACGACGAUACCACUGGGGAUAUCGUCGGUCCCAUCGAUCCCGCGGUGGACACCAGCGGUGAGGCCAGAAGCUGCAGCUCUGGGGAUCCAUUUCUUCGUGCCCUUCUCCCUUCGCGCUCCAGCCGGUAUGCAUGUCGCUGGCUUUGGGUAUCGGCCGCAUAAAACCCGCGGCGCAUCAACUUGCGUUGUUCGGUCAGGUAACGCAUCAAAUGUUGCUGCAUCACACUUUUCCACUCACGUUUUCUUUUCAAAAAUAACUGAUCUCGUGCUGCCCCCGCCUUAUAAGGGCUCGUGCCGGUGCUCACCGUUCUAUGUAACGGUGCUUUACAUGGGCCCUUUGGACGGCUCUCUUUUGCCUUCCAGUUGGAUAUCUUGUUUGACCCCGUUUGAAAGUUAUCCGCGUCUCUCGCCGCGUUAACCCUAGGGUGCCCCGGGGUUUCGUUAGCUUUCCUCUUAUUCUUUUUGAUUUUGCUCGACGUCGUGUUGUUUGGCGUCGCCUUGAAUCUGGUAAGCCUCCCGAGUUCUUGGGUUCCUCAUCUCACCUUGCCUUCUCUUCUAGCCCGUCCUUUGGCCCCAGUCCAGGAUGCAGACCGAUCUUCCAGCUCGUGAUCAACAGGUCCUCCGACCUCUCGCCCGUGCUGCUAAACGUCGGCCCGCCCGCCCUACAAGCCAGGAAAAGCCAAUGUAGGAGCUGACUCUUUGUCCAGAAUCAAGGAGAUAAACUCCAUUACGACACAACAUAGUUCCUCCGAAAGGUUAAUUCAUAGUAUGGAAAUUCUAAUAAAUGCUUUUAAAAACCAAAUCUUUAUUAUUCCAGGAAACGAAAAUAAUUACAAAUUAAGUAUACCAUUUCCAACAUUUCAUCGACAUGAAAUUAAACAAAACACAUUCACCGAAGCUGAUUUAUUACAAAUAUUAAAAAAAUACCUUAAACCUUCCGUUAUUAAUGGAAUUCAAACAACCGAACACAUUAUGGGACAAAUCCAAAAAAAAUACCCAUCAAAUUUCUUCCAAUACAAAGUUAGAUUCACUCAAAGUAGAAGAUCUAAGUAAGGAAAGCCAACAAGAAGAAGAGAUCCUAAAGGUUCACAAUAGGGCCCACAGGAAUGCUGUAGAAAAUCAAAAACAACUCAUCGAAAAAUUAUAUUUUCCAAAAAUGAAACAGAAAAGUUCCACUAUAGUAAAGCAGUGUCAGAUUUAUAAGGAAGUAAAAUACGACAGACACCCCACUAAUCCCGAAAUCGUGGAAACACCAAUACCACAAUAUCCAGGUCACACUAUUCACAUUGAUAUUUAUUCCACAGAAAUUAGCCCAAGAAAGAAUCAUCAAAUCCAAAUCCUGCGGUAUAAACAUACUCUCGAGUACUUAUGUAUGCGGAAGAAGUUAAACUGUGUGUCCAGUAUAAGGACAUUUCAUUUCAUUCUGGCUUGCAAUGCGAUCUCAAUAACUUUCAGUCAUGGUGUUCUGCUAACUUGUUAUGUUGGGUGUUUCCUUCAUUCUCCACUCGCUUCAUAACGGGACCUGGCCGGGGGCGUGAUCUCAUGACUAUAUAUUUGGUCAUGCGCUGGGCCACUGCCGGCCCGAUCCCGUCAUCCCGCUGCUCUCUAUUCGGGGUCCUCUCCUCUCAUCUUGGAUCUCCGAGACAGCUCCCCUCGGGAAUUCGCCGCAUCCGGAUAUCCCCGGAUAACGGCCGUUAGUCCUUAACCCUGUACCGCCCCCUGCGUGUGGGAAUACAUUUCCUCACACUUCCCCCUUUCUUUCAUUGGCGGAAAACCCCGAUGUUCCGCGUCCCGAAUCUAGGGAUGUUUCAAAAAUCACGCGCGAUCGGCGCCUUGAUCUCGAACCGGGUGCACCCUGGCGCCCUCCCUCGGCCUAACCAGGUUCGGUGUUGCCGUAUAUCCCCGCUGCGGGCGAUCGAUUUGUUCCUCCCACGUCGAUAGCUCGUAUGGUUACUCUUGCGAUCCGCUCGAUAACGGGUAGGGUCGCUUUUCUGACUUACUCGAUACGACGUAGGGUUGCUUUUACGAUCCACUCGACAAAGGGUAGGGUCGCUUUUGUGAUUUACUCGAUACCGCGCAUCCCGCAGCGUGCGUACUCUAGUUCAGUCUCGCGAAUUGCUCAAUGGACUCGGAAAAGUCCUAUUUUCCUCGUUGUUCCGGUUUGUUUGUGUGUCCGAUUGCCCAUUUCGCCCAUCCGCUGGUGCGCUGGCCUUCCGGUGGCCUUCUCCCGCGCUUCCAUGCCCGGCCGCCUGGCCCCGGAUGCUUCGGGUAAGUUGUAUUCUCUCUUUCUCGCCUUCCGCCGCAUCCAUUCAUACUUUAUCGAUCAUUUCUAGCGAUGUCCCUCUGCUCUCCUGUUAAAAGGUAAAUACCAUGUUCUUUUUCUGUUUUGUGCGUUUGUUUUAUUUAUCAUUCAUUUUUUUUCCUCUUCUGUUUAGUGCGUUGCACGGAACACCUCCUGCCGGUCGGUGGACACCGAUAAGCGGUACGCCCCCGGUACGCCCCCGUCGUUGGCCAGGCGCUUCACCCUCCUCGACGUGGGUCUCAUCCGUGCGAGAGAGCGCGUGACGACGGCUGGCCACUCCUCGCGCUUGAUGGGCUGCCACCGCGGGUUGUCCGCUGGUGAUCCCUUCUGGGGCCACGAUGCCUGACGCUGCAGCUCGGGCUGGCGCGCCUCCGCCCGCUCCCCUGGGCACGACGUUUGUCGGCCUAGCUGUGGCCUCUUGGUCUGGCCGGGUUCCGGCCAUUGCCAGGGACCUCGCUCCCAUGGCUCAGGUGAGUGGUGUGCCUCUGUUGCCGCUUGUGUGUCUUCCAUCUCUUCCGCCGUCCUUGCACCAUCUUCUGCUACCGCCGCCCCCUCUGUCGUGUCGGGACUCGUCGCGUUCGCCGGCCUCUCCGCGUCGUCGUCUGCCGCCGCCGCCCUUCCCGUCGUUGUUGGCAUCGUUGCCUCGGGCGAAUCUUCGGGCAUCACCCCGGCUGUGGAUGCCGCCGCUGGGCCUUCCGCCUCCGGUGGCCGUCCUCGUUGCCUCGGAUCCCGCUCGUUGCUGGCGCGUGGAGCCUCCUCCCACAGCCGAGCCUCCUCCGUCUCUGUCUCGGGCUGCCGCGGCGCUGGCCCGGAGGCCCACGAUAUAUGCAGUGUCUGCACGUGCCAUAGCAUGCGAACGGCACGAGGGCGGCUCGCUACGGCCCUUGCCAGUGCUGCUGCUGCUGGCCUGCGUCUUCGAUCGUGGCCGUGCCUCCUGUGGGUCGGCCUGCCGUUGGUCUCCUUGCCGCGUUGUCGACCUCCCCCUUUUUCGCGCCGACGACUCCUCCUUCUCGGCCUGUCCCUUCGAGCUCGUGGAUGCCCGCUUCGAUGGCCGCCCCUCUCGCGUUUGCUGGCGCGUGGCUCCUCGCGCUUGGUGGAGUGGGGCUCCUCCCGUUUGCUGGCGCGGGGCUCCGCGCGUUUGCUGGCGCGGGAUUCCUCGCGUUUGCUGGCGCGGGACUCCUCGCGCUUGGUGGAGUGGGGCUUCUCGCGUUCGCUGGCGCGGGGCUCCGCGCGUUUCCUCUUGCUUGGUGGUGUGCGCGUCUCGUCCUGCCGCAUGGCGCUCGCGUUUCCCCUCCCUCGCGCGUUUUUUCGUCGGGGCCGGUUCCCAGCUCACCAAUUCGAGGUCGCUCUCUGCCUCGCUGCACCACGACAAUACCACUGGGGAUAUCGUCGGUCCCAUCGAUCCCGCGGUGGACACCAGCGGUGAGGCCAGAAACUGCAGCUCUGGGGAUCCAUUUCUUCGUGCCCUUCUCCCUUCGCGCUCCAGCCGGUAUGCAUGUCGCUGGCUUUGGGUAUCGGCCGCAUAAAACCCGCGGCGCAUCAACUUGCGUUGGCUCCAAUGCCCUGGACUCGGACCCGAGCUUCGGCUCAUCUUCGGAAUCCCACCUCCGAGACCACCUCGUCCGUCAACGCACCUCGCAACACGCUCCGUGGGGUAGUGGCGAUCGGGUAUCCCUUGUUUUCUUUGCCUUUGUCCAGUUUCUAACGGUUGAUGAGCUAACUCUUCCUUUUCUCUCCGUAGGUCCGGCUUUAUCCGUCCGCCUGCCGCCACCUGCUGCUUUAGUUUUAACAGCUUCUUAGUUUUACCGAUUUUAGUUGUAAGAGGAUUCCGGGUGGCCUUAUCCUGCGUGGCAUUAAGUUGGGCCACUCGUUCCCGCCCCUGUCGAUAGUCCCUGUCCUGCGUGACACGUCCACCUUUCUCUGUCUGCCUCGCCUGUUAUCCCGCCUUGUGUGUUGGCCACGACUUCGGUUCCAGGGCUUGUCCUAGGGGUUCCCUCACCGGACUGUGGCUUCAGGUCGCAUAUAUGGGCAGUCCGUGUACGUUUCUCGCUGUCCUUCCUCAAUUUACAGAUGACUGGUGACACGAAAUCCAUUAUUGUGUAGGGACCGUCAUACUUUGGGGCCAGUUUUGCGGCAAACCCUUCGGCGGCAUUGGACAGAUGGUGUUGCUUGGCCCAUACCUUGUCUCCAAUCCUGGGCUUGCACGCUCUCCUCUUCAGGUUAUAAUACCUCGCUUGGUCCUGCGCCGCUCUUUCGAGAUUCCGCCUCACCAGUUGAAAUAUUUCUCUUAACUUGGUCGAGUUCUCGUCCGGUGUGAGCGUGCCGUGCCCUGUACCGAGCACUUCUUCAUCAUAUAUGGCCUUUGGUAGCCUCGGCUCUCUCCCCUGGGCAACGAACGUUGGCGAGUACCCGGUGGACUCGGUCACCGCGGAGUUUACUGCCAACAUCACUUCUGGCCAUUUCUCAUCCCAAUUCCUCUGGUCCCCUUCGGUGAAUUGAGCUAUCACAGUCUUUACUGUCCGGUUAGUUCGCUCUGUCGGGUUUUCUCGACUGGUGAAUUAGACUCCAUUAUCCGUGAUCACCACCUUCGGCACGCCGAACCGUGACACGAUGCGUUCUCGGAACGCUUUCGUUAGUGCUUCCGCAGUGGCCUUCCUCAAUGGGACCAAUGACGUCCAUUUCGAGAAGUGGUCCACCAUCGCUAACAGCAUGGCAUUCCCAUGCUUUGACCUGGGAAGGGGGCCCACGAAGUCCGCACACACCGUCGCCCACGGCUCCUCUGGCACUUGUGUUAGCAUUUUGCCAGCCGCCUGCAGUUGACUCGGUUUUUAGCGUAUGCAGGCCUCACACUUUCUCACAUAUGUCCUCACAUCUCGGUGCAUCCCCGACCAGUAGUACCGGCCGGCUACUCUUUCCAUUGUCUUUUUAAUGUCUGCGUCACCCGCCUUCGGCGUGCUGUAGUUCUCUCCCAUGAUUCGUUCUCUUAGGCCCUUUGGGACGCAUAACUUCCACGAUGCUAUCUCCUCGUCUCCUGCUCGGUGCGGGAUAUGCCGAUAUACCCUGCCUGCCUCCUCUACGUAGUCAAGAUACCUCAUCGGCUCGUUUCUCAUCCUCUCCUUGACCUUUUUAAUCCAUCCGCACUCUGCCUCGGGUUCGUGUCCAGCCUCUGUUUCCUUUUCAGUGGUUCUCAGGCAUCGCUCCGCCUUUGGCUGUCGAGACAGUGCGUCCGCCACUAUGUUCAGCUGCCCCUUCCUAUAUACCACUUCGAAGUCGUAUUGUUGCAACUCCAGUGCUUACCUGGCGAUCCUCCCCGUUGGACUUUCGAUGCUGUUCAACCAUUUCAAUGCCACAUGGUCGGUGACCACCUUGAAACGGUAUCCCUCCAGAUAAGGCUUUAGCUUUCUUAUGGCCCAUACAAUGGCCAGGCAUUACUUUUCCGUCGCCGAAUAGUUCUUCUCUGCACUAUUCAGAGUUCUACUGGCGUAAGAGAUGACCUUUUCGCCCUUCUCCGUCUCUUGUGUUAGGAUCGCCGGAUCCGCUGUCAGCCGACUCUUUACGUCCUCGAACGCUUGCUGCUGUUUCGGCGUCCAUUCCCAUUUCGCCUUCUUCUUCAGCAACGCACUGCAGGGGGGCUGCACCAACGUGUCGAAUCCGUUCACGAAUCGUCUGUACCAGGAGGCUACGCCUAAGUAUCGUCGUAGUUCCUUGACAUUCGCCGGCGGCUGCAGCUCCGCAAUGGCCGCCACUUUCUCGGUGCAAAUUCCGUCUUCCGUUACCAAAUGCCCCAGGUAUCGCAAUUCUUUCCGAACAAAUUUUAAUUUUUCCACGCUUAGGCGCAGGUUUCCGUUUUUCAACCGUCGAAAAACUUCCUCUAGGUUUCGUUUGUGUCCCUUCUCUGUACGGCCGAUGACAGUGAUGUCAUCCUGGUACUUAGCCGACGCGGAGUGGAGUCCAAACGGCAUCACUUUAAAUUGGAACAGCCCCUUGCCGGGCACCGUGAACGCGGUGAACUUCCUACUGCUUUCCUCCAAUGGUAUCUGCCAAUACCCGUCCUUCAAGUCCAAGCUACUAAUGAACCGCGCCUCCCUGAGCUGGUCCAAAAUGUAAUCAAUUCUUGGCAUGGUGUAUGCAUCCUUGAUGGAUUUUGCGUUUAUCUGUCGGAAGUCCACGCAUAAUCUCCACUUUCCUGUCUUCUUCUUGACCAUCACGAUGGGCGCACUGUACGGGCUCCUUGAUGGCUCAAUACACCCUCUUUCCAGUAGUUCGUCCACCUGUUGGUUGAUUUCGGCUUGCAUCUUGGGAUUCUUGGGGUAGUAGCGUUGUUUGAUCGGCUGGGCAUCGCUCAUAGUGAUCGUGUGGGUGGCUAUGUUCGACACUCCCUUCAAUUUUCGGAAAUCCUCAAACUCGUUCGCCAGGAAUUCCUCGACCGAUCCCUCCUCCGCUCGCUAUCUGCCGGUCUCUGGCUCUGAGGCUUCUUCAGUGGACUCUAAGACCGCCACUGACAACUUCUCUUCCAACCGCCCAUUGCAGUGGCCUCUCGCAGGGAUCACAACCCUGUGCCCCGCACAGGUCACCUCUGCUCCGACCGCGGCGAUAAAAUCCCAUCCCAGGACAAGCGCAUCGAUCACUCCCGGGAACACGAGAAACGUGAUUGGGACCCUCUUGUCUCCGAAGGCCAGCUCCACCUCGAUCUGGCGAUUGACUUCACGGCAGCGUCCGUCAGCCAGCCGCACCAGCUUCCUUGUUUCUUUCUCUCGCCUCUCUCCCUCCAGCCUGCUCGCCAUUUCGCAGCGGUAUCGACCGUGGCUUUCCAGUCGCUGCCCGCGAUCCUCACCACCGCCGACAGCUGGACAUCCUCCACUGUGAGUUCUCCUACGAGUUUUGGGGGGCUGCGUCUUGCGACCCUGGCCCGGCCCUCCGCGGCUUGGGUCGCGGGGCGUUUCCCGCUUCCUGGCAGCACUGCCAGGUCAGGGCUCCUAUCUUGCCGCACCUCCAGCAGAACGUUAUCGGCCGACCAUUGCAUGCCUGUGCCCAAUGGCGGUCACUUCCGCACCGUCGCACAGUGGCGAUUUCGACGAAAAGAGGUGGCAAAAGUCUGAGAUUUUUUUUAGCGCUUUGGAUACAAGAGCUUUCAAAAAUCAAACCUUCAAAAAAUUCAGACUUUUAGUUUAGAAGAUAUGAGCACUCAAAGCUGAAAAUUUUUUCAGUGCGCACAAUUUUUUUAAACUUUUAUUCAAAUACUGCAUCUUUCAGGUGGAAAAAAAAGUUAACUAUGUAACGUAUGAUUCUGUUUUUGGUAUCUUUUAUAAGUUGCCUUAAUUCUUACGAAAACUUUUUAAAAAUAUGGUUAGUUGCAUAGGCAGUUGUUUAGAAAAGCUUGUUUUGCAAACCAUCUAAAAAUUAGGCUGUUUUUUAACUUUGACUGGACUUUUAAAAAAUAUUUAUCUAAAUUUUCCCGAGAUUUUUUUUUUAUAUGUUCCUUGAACUAUUUAUUACCUAAGUCUAAAAGCCCUUUCUGCGCUUCGGAGCCGUUCGGCUUCUAUACGUCUACCUUUUUCUACCUUAUUUCUACCUUUACCUGUCUUCUUUACCAGGUUUUGUAACCUGCUUUUUUAUAUGUCAAAGGGUGGUACCUACAUAUGUGUAUAUAUUGAAUUAAUUUUUAGCGCAGCUCUAUAGUCUUAUUUUGACUUUUAAAGGAUUCAGUUGCGUAUAAGCCAAAAUUAAUUAUCGGAUUAGUUAUUUAAAAAAUUAUUAGUUAUUUAGUAUCGGACAGCACAGAGCAGCAUACAAGUACAAGAAAGAAAAUUAUUUGUGUACAUUAAAAAGAAAUGGGUGAUCUCACACUGUAAGGUUGAAUCGUUUAAUAGCAAAUACGCAAGCUGGCUAAUUGGAAACAGCUUGCUAUAUGAUGGACCGUCCACGUCCACAGGACGAGCAAUAGGAAGACCAACAAAAACCCUGGAUAAGUGUUCAGAUUACACUAGAAAGCGAAAACUUUUAGAUGCAACAUGUCGUAUAGAUGCGGAUCAUUUAUCGGAGGCACUGUCAAUUAAAUAUACGAACAACAAGGAAAACAAGAGGGCGCAAAAGAAUAGCAUCAUCACGCCACCGAAUUCACAACCGAAGUCGUAUACCGAUGACGAGGCUUUGGCGUUGUUUUUAGACUUGGGAAUGUCUAAGGAGAAGUAUUUAAUACUGCGGUAUUCCUUACAGCAGCAUCAAGUCUAUGUUCUUCCUGAAUAAAAACAUAUUACAGAUGCCAAAUUGAUGGCAAGGCCGGAAGAAAACUUAGUGACGGUUGAAUCAGCAGUAGUAAAACUUCAAGACCUGCUGCAACAUACUACGAAACGGCUGAUUAAAAGCUUACCUCACCAUCAAAUUGACAGUCUGCCACCAAAUCUCACAUUGAUCAGCAAAUGGGGCUGUGAUGGAUCUUCUGGGCAAGGUGAAUAUAAGCAAGCAAUAUCUACAGACGAUAAAACUAUUACAGAUUCUAACAUGUUUAUGGCUUCUUUUGUACCACUGCGGCUUAAGUCGGAUACAUCGGAAUAUUGGAAAAAUCCUCGACCUUCGUCUGCUCAUUAUUGCCGUCCUAUAUUAUUCAAAUACGCCAAGGAAUCUUCGGAACUAAUAAAAUCCACUGUAAGUGAUAUUAAGAAUCAGAUUUCAAAUAUAAGACCGUUUGUACAUAAAGUCAACGAAGAAAAAUCCAUUAGUGUCAAUUUUUAAUUUUUCCUUACUAUGAUUGAUGGAAAAGUUCUUAACGAACUUACUAAUACUAAAUCGACCUUGAAAUGCGCAUUUUGGAAAAACACAGAAGGAAUCUCAAAAUUUGGAUGAUUGCAUAAUUGAAGAGGAAAAUUUAAAAUAUGGCAUUUCCCCAUUGCAUGCAAGAAUUAGAUGUAUGGAGUUAAUUUUAAAGCUUGCAUAUACCAUUCUGCGAGAGGGAGAAUGACAACAGCACGCCAGCCAACGAAAUACAAAAGACUAGGAAAAAAAUUAUUCAAGAAAAAUUCUUAGACAAACUAUCACUGAAGGUGGACUGCCCCAAACAAGGAUUUGGAAACACAAACGAUGGAAACUCAUCACGGACAUUCUUUGAGAAAAACGAAAUUACUGCAGAAAUAACUGGGGUGGAUAUUGACAUUAUCAAAAGAUUGGGUGUCAUUUUAAAUAUUUUAAACUGCAAAGAAAAAUUAAAUACCCGCAAGUUUGGUGAAUAUUCCUCGAAGACUGCAGAUCUGUUACUGGAAAAAUAUCCUGAAAAUAAGCUAACUCCCACGCUUCAUAAAAUUCUGGCACAUGGUCAAAUUUUAAUUGAACAUCAGAGCCUACCAAUUGGAGAGGAAGCCCUGGAAACAAGCAACAAAGAUUACAAAAAAUACAGGAAUAUGAAUACGUGCAAGACAUCACGAAUUAAGCAAAACCAAGACCUUUUCAACAUGUUGGCAGCCUCUUCAGAUCCAUAUAUUUCAUCCAUUAGACUUGUGAGAUCACAAAUUAAAUCGGAAAGUAGUUAUUCUUCAGAAAUUAUAAUAGUAAUAAUUAUAUAUAAUUAGAUAUUCCUCCCACUAAACAGGCAGUGGAGGAUAAUUUCACAGAAACAAAAAAAAAUUCAACCAACUUUCAGAUUACAAAAAAUAAUUUUUAUUUAAAUUUUUUAAUAUUAGGUUUAGUUGAAAAUUAAUUAAAAAAUAAUAUUUUAUAGUAAAAAAACUAUUGAUCAUUUCACAUAGGAAAAUAUGCACCGGCAACAAAGUUCAACUUUAACCCAUUAUUAUUACUGUGAAGCUUUUAGACACUGUAGCAUAAUUUACUUAAGCAGAUUAAAGUUUCAAAGAUUUGUCUUUCAAAUGCAGUUUGUUUCAUGAAGAUAUCUUUAUUUUUUCAGAAAUGAUUAAUUUAGCAAGCUGAAACGGCGGAAUUCGCCACUGUGCGGCGCUGGUUCGACUCUCGGUUCUCCUCCGCGUUUUUAGUGAGCGCGACCCACUUUGGACCCCCCCAAGGAGUCUCCAAUCGUGGCUCCGCCGGCUCUAACGACUGGGGCCAGCGAUUCUUGGCACGAAGCCCAAAUCGGCGCCUGACGCGUUCGCUCUCACUCGACUCACUUGGCUUUUCGGCACGAAAGUGUCUCACCCACUGUGAGGUGCACUCCCAACGUUACACCGUUGGUUCAAGGGAUUGGGACCUUUGGCUCGAGUCCGCCUCUCAAUCCUCACACAACGUGUUUGCUUUCCAAAGUUCUUCGUCUCUUGUUGGGUCUCACCCUUGUUGCUCACUUUUCACAUUUGCACUUGAUAGCUUUGCUGGCUGACUGUCCUCCUUCAUGGCCGUGGCCUUCCUCAUAUAGCCUCGCUUCAGCGUCGGCGUCGCUGACGCCGCCUGGCCGCCUGGAUUCAGUUGCGUAUAAGCCAAAAUUAAUUAUCGGAUUAGUUAUUUAAAAAAUGAUUAGUUAUUUAGUAUCGGACAGCACAGAGCAGCAUACAAGUACAAGAAAGAAAAUUAUUUGUGUACAUUAAAAAGAAAUGGGUGAUCUCACACUGUAAGGUUGAAUCGUUUAAUAGCAAAUACGCAAGCUGGCUAAUUGGAAACAGCUUGCUAUAUGAUGGACCGUCCACGUCCACAGGACGAGCAAUAGGAAGACCAACAAAAACCCUGGAUAAGUGUUCAGAUUACACUAGAAAGCGAAAACUUUUAGAUGCAACAUGUCGUAUAGAUACGGAUCAUUUAUCGGAGGCACUGUCAAUUAAAUAUACGAACAACAAGGAAAACAAGAGGGCGCAAAAGAAUAGCAUCAUCACGCCACCGAAUUCACAACCGAAGUCGUAUACCGAUGACGACGCUUUGGCGUUGUUUUUAGACUUGGGAAUGUCUAAGGAGAAGUAUUUAAUACUGCGGUAUUCCUUACAGCAGCAUCAAGUCUAUGUUCUUCCUGAAUAAAAACAUAUUACAGAUGCCAAAUUGAUGGCAAGGCCGGAAGAAAACUUAGUGACGGUUGAAUCAGCAGUAGUAAAACUUCAAGACCUGCUGCAACAUACUACGAAACGGCUGAUUAAAAGCUUACCUCACCAUCAAAUUGACAGUCUGCCACCAAAUCUCACAUUGAUCAGCAAAUGGGGCUGUGAUGGAUCUUCUGGGCAAGGUGAAUAUAAGCAAGCAAUAUCUACAGACGAUAAAACUAUUACAGAUUCUAACAUGUUUAUGGCUUCUUUUGUACCACUGCGGCUUAAGUCGGAUACAUCGGAAUAUUGGAAAAAUCCUCGACCUUCGUCUGCUCAUUAUUGCCGUCCUAUAUUAUUCAAAUACGCCAAGGAAUCUUCGGAACUAAUAAAAUCCACUGUAAGUGAUAUUAAGAAUCAGAUUUCAAAUAUAAGACCGUUUGUACAUAAAGUCAACGAAGAAAAAUCCAUUAGUGUCAAUUUUUAAUUUUUCCUUACUAUGAUUGAUGGAAAAGUUCUUAACGAACUUACUAAUACUAAAUCGACCUUGAAAUGCGCAUUUUGGAAAAACACAGAAGGAAUCUCAAAAUUUGGAUGAUUGCAUAAUUGAAGAGGAAAAUUUAGAAUAUGGCAUUUCCCCAUUGCAUGCAAGAAUUAGAUGUAUGGAGUUAAUUUUAAAGCUUGCAUAUACCAUUCUGCGAGAGGGAGAAUGACAACAGCACGCCAGCCAACGAAAUACAAAAGACUAGGAAAAAAAUUAUUCAAGAAAAAUUCUUAGACAAACUAUCACUGAAGGUGGACUGCCCCAAACAAGGAUUUGGAAACACAAACGAUGGAAACUCAUCACGGACAUUCUUUGAGAAAAACGAAAUUACUGCAGAAAUAACUGGGGUGGAUAUUGACAUUAUCAAAAGAUUGGGUGUCAUUUUAAAUAUUUUAAACUGCAAAGAAAAAUUAAAUACCCGCAAGUUUGGUGAAUAUUCCUCGAAGACUGCAGAUCUGUUACUGGAAAAAUAUCCUGAAAAUAAGCUAACUCCCACGCUUCAUAAAAUUCUGGCACAUGGUCAAAUUUUAAUUGAACAUCAGAGCCUACCAAUUGGAGAGGAAGCCCUGGAAACAAGCAACAAAGAUUACAAAAAAUACAGGAAUAUGAAUACGUGCAAGACAUCACGAAUUAAGCAAAACCAAGACCUUUUCAACAUGUUGGCAGCCUCUUCAGAUCCAUAUAUUUCAUCCAUUAGACUUGUGAGAUCACAAAUUAAAUCGGAAAGUAGUUAUUCUUCAGAAAUUAUAAUAGUAAUAAUUAUAUAUAAUUAGAUAUUCCUCCCACUAAACAGGCAGUGGAGGAUAAUUUCACAGAAACAAAAAAAAAUUCAACCAACUUUCAGAUUACAAAAAAUAAUUUUUAUUUAAAUUUUUUAAUAUUAGGUUUAGUUGAAAAUUAAUUAAAAAAUAAUAUUUUAUAGUAAAAAAACUAUUGAUCAUUUCACAUAGGAAAAUAUGCACCGGCAACAAAGUUCAACUUUAACCCAUUAUUAUUACUGUGAAGCUUUUAGACACUGUAGCAUAAUUUACUUAAGCAGAUUAAAGUUUCAAAGAUUUGUCUUUCAAAUGCAGUUUGUUUCAUGAAGAUA